AUGAUGUCUGGCCAUUGUUUCAUAAUGGCCCACAUUCAACCAGCCCAGCCAGGCUAAAUUUUUCAGAGACACCGCUGAUGGAGUCUUUUGAGGAGUUGGGGAUGGCGUUGAUAAGUGGUCCAUGUUUCACAAGCUUACAGGGAGGUUGGUAAUACAAUAGCUUUGUAAACAAGCAUUUUGGUUUCCCUGCGUCUUCAAACACUCUGCACUUCAAUCGGGAGAAAGCUGCGCUUGCAGAGCUCACCCUGUGUGGUGGGGGAACAUGAACAAUGCCUGCUUUGAUGGCUGAAUUUGAUGUGGGGGUUGGUGUAGGCAGAGGCAAUCUCUUAAGGUAGCAGGGGUCUAGGCCACAAAAAGGUUUAGAGCCCUUGAAUUGGGAAUUAUCAACCAGUGCACCUGAUAUUUUACGGGCUGAAUGUGGCUGCAACUCCCAGCAUCUGUGAGAGGUACUGUGGCAUUUUGAGUUAGCUGAAGAUUCUGAGCUUUGGCCAAAUCAAAUAAGUGUUGGAAAUGUAAAGAGAAAUAAUGUUCUUUAUAUCCUAUGUGGUGGUCUUGUAGUAAGGUUAAAGCUUACUAGGAAAUGAUAUCUAAUGAAUUGAAAAAGAUGUUUAAAAUAAUGUUUGUAAAAAAACAAACAAACCCAGAAGUUUUUCUUUUGGGAAUUAUAGGGACAGAACUACCAAACUGUAUAGAAAUUUAUUCAUUUAUGCAACUACAGAGGCAAGAAUGUUACUUGCCCAAAAGCAUCUUUGAUGCGUAGAUGCGUAGAUGCCUGGCCAUAGUUUCAUACUAUCUUUGUGCUGCACUUAUAUGGCACCGAUUGCAUUCCUAACAUUUACAGCCUAAAUUAUAAUGCCCUAAAUUGCUUUCAUUAUCCAAAGAAUUAAAUGGUGUUGCCAGUAUUUCAGAAUAUUAUGGGACUGAGCAUUUUGGGCCACUUCAUUCUGGGCAUGUUGGCACAUAAUCUGCAGCAGCCUUUUCUCUUUUAAGACGUUUUACAGAUCGCAACAGUAUCCUGCUGAGUCAUGGUGACACCAAAAUAAGAAAAAAAUAGUUUCUCUCUGGUCACUUCCAUGCUCUUUGUGUUAAAUCUGUGGUAUGUUUUGAAAAGUUUGAGCCUUAUUAUCCCUUUAUAUAAAUACACCCCUCCACUCAGGUCCACAAUCUGGAUAAAGGCCACGAGAACAAAACACACCACUCUUUGUCUAUCGUACAACAGAUUUCUUUUAGGCAAAGGUUAGUCUUCUGUGUGUAGGCACAUAAAUCUGCAUCUAUUGUAGAAUGUUAAAAGUUCCUGCUUAGUAUAAUAAGAUCUAAAAAAGAAAUGAGACCAGAUGGUGGAGGUGCAGGCAGAGAAACAAUAGAUAUUUAGCAAAAAAAAAAAAAAAGUAUUGGCUAUAAUAAGUUUUGUGGAAGGACAUUACAUUCUCUCUGACGCAAUACUUUUGCUGUUGUUCUGUCUCAAAACCUGGAUUGUCAACGUGAUGGCCAUGGGAGAACAUGUGCCCACAGAGGCCUCCCCUGGUGGCCCCUUUACUAAAAUUAGGCUUUAAAUAAUUGUUUUUCUAAUGCCAAUAGAAUGGGUUGUGGUCUGUGCUUGGUUGCAGUAUGUGUACAGUAUGGCAGAAGGUAAAGGUAAAGGACCUCUGGACGGUUAAGUCCAGUCAAAGGCAACUAUGGGGUUGCGGCGCUCAUCUCGCUUUUCCGGCCGAGGGAGCCGGCAUUUGUCCACAGAAAUAUUUCCAGGUCAUGUGGCCAGCAGGACUAAACCGCUUCUUGCACAACAGAACACCGCGAUGGAAACCAGAGCACAUGUAAAUGCUGUUUACCUUCCCACUGCAGCGGUACCUAUUUAUCUACUUGAACUGGUGUGCUUUCGAACUGCUAGGUUGGCAGGAGCUGGGGCAGAGCAAGGAGAGCUCAUACCAUUGUGGGGAUUCGAACUUCAGACCUUCCAGUCAGCAGGCCCAGGAAGCUCAGUGGUUUAGACCACAGCGCCACCCACCUCCCACAUGUGCAUGGUAUCCACAACAGGCUCUCUAGUUGCAAAUGGGUCAAUUGGCCAAAGAGAUGUAUUACCCCUAAAGGAUAGUGCAGCCCUGAUCCUUUAGCAUGCAUACACAAGGUCUCCAGAAAGAAGCUGAAAUCCCUCUGAUCAGCCACUUUACAUAGAAGAGGAAGUAGGAAAGGACAUAACUUAAUAGUCUGCUCUUCCUCCUGAACAUUAGGAUUCAUUCAGGCUUUGCUUACAAGAUAGGUGAAGCCAUGGCUCCUGGAUUUGGGUGGGGAAUUGUUCGUGAAAUGGGGAUUCCUUUUAGCUCCCGGAUUUUUUGUGUCAGUUCUAUAACUGUUUCAAGCUCCUGGGAAAUGGUUACUGACCUUAAAGUCUCCAUCCUUGUAUGAAGAAACUUUAAAUGGUGACUGCUACAUGAACAAAAGGAUUAGAUUGUGUUUGUUUGUUUGUUUUUUAAAAAAGGUCAGUGCUAGCGGUUGUGAACUGAAUUGGCACAAAUAUUAUUUUGGGGGGAGUAAUCACACUACAAAUGUUAAUUGGUUUGCUAUUGGCAGGAUGGCUGUGUUUUCAACAUCUGUGUGAGUUUUUUUUCUAAUGGCCGGUGUUAAUAACAUAAUUAUCACUGUCUAUACUUUCUGCAUUUCAUUUUGUUUUGACCCCAUAAUAACUCUGUUUGUGUGUAUCAGAAUAGCACUGUGCAUCUGAUGAAGUGGACUAUAAUUCACAAAGCUUCUUCCGUAAUAAAUUCAUCAGUCUUCAAGUUUUUAUUUAUACUUUUCAAGUGUAUACAUUUCAUUAGAUUUACAAUCAAUUUAACAUUUCAAAGUUUGACUUCCUUCCCCCUCUUUCUGCGGUUCCUUAAAUUUAUUUUUUAAUAUAUCCUGCAUAUCCAAAUUCAUUUAAUUUGUUCAUUUAAUUAUCUACUUUAAAUAAAUACUCUUAGGAAACUGCAGGUUAUUACAAUCAUCUGCUAAUGUUUUAAUCUGUUGGCAAUUUAUCUGUAAAUAUUCCACAGUUUCCCUUCUUUUAUAAAAAGUGUGUUAUCUUGAUUUCUUAUUCUUCUGGUAAGUUUCCCCAUUUCUGCAUAUUCCAUAAGUUUUUUUUAUCCAUUCAUCAGUCUUCAAGGCACCACAAGAGUCCUUGUUGUUUUAGGUACCUUCUAUUUCCCUUGCAGGAUGCAGACAAGCUUCAGAGGAAGUACCAUAUUUUUCGCUCCAGACCACAAGACGCACCUAGUUUUUGGAGGAGGAAAACAAGAAAAAAAAUAUUCUAAAUUUCAGAAUCCAGAACAACAAGAGGGAUUGCUGCGCAGCGAAAGCAGCAAUCCCUCUUGCUGUUCUGGCUUCUGGGAUAGCUGCGAAGCCUGCAUUCACUCCAUAAGACGCACACACAUUUCCCCUUACUUUUUAGGAGGGAAAAAGUGAGUCUUAUAGAGCAAAAAAUACGGUAUGCUCAAGGAGAAAAUGAGAGAGUUUAAACAGCUCUCCUCUAACACAAUGGGCUCAAUCCAGCCCCAUGGUUGCAUUUCACUUGCAGUAUCCCAUGUAUGCAGCUCCCAUGUCAUGAAGAAUUGUGCUCUGAAAAAAACUUGCAGAUAGAAAACUGCUAAAGAUAAUUUUUGGUUGCUACAAGUUUGGAAGAUUAUGAAACUUAUUCAGUGUGAAGAAAGAAGGACAGCUAUUGAAUAAAUUUAUAGACAGAUGGGAGGAAAGCAAUAUUUUCACUGGUAAUUCUGACGAUCAGGCCUCACAGGAAAGAUUGCGAUUAUAGCUAUUGUACUAAAAUGGUGAAUACUGUUUUAUCAGAAGAUAUGAAAUUGUUUUUCUUUUGUUACCAGUUAACAAAACAAAGACGUAGAUCAAAAAUAGCAUCUUGAGACUUUUAGGGAGAUCCCCCCCCCCAUCAGAAAGCAUGUGGAGGAUCAAUUUUUGUUCAUGCUCCCUCAUCUCAUACGGAAAGGAAGCAUAUUAGGAAGAAUGUUUCUAACCUAGCCUUAAAGACACCUAUUUGAAAAAUUCCUGCACUCAGAGCCUUGCUACCUGGAGCCGUGCUGAAGUUAAAGGACAGCUUGCUGGCUACAUUUGGAAUUAAGAUUUAAAGCUUCAGUGUUCAUAUUUCUUCAAUUUACUAAAAUAUGGCUGAUGAGUGCAAAAAUAUAGUCAUGGUAAUUCAAAGGUAGGAUAUUUUUUCCCCUCUACCUCAGAUUUAUUAGUGCUAAAAAUAUUUCAUAUUAUCCUUCAGCAGAAUAUAUGCUGAGCAUUCAGCAAAUUAAUGAGGUCAUGUAAGCUGCUAGUAUUUUUGUUUUUUUCUGCAGUUUGUAGGAACUGCUAAUUUUCCAUUUUGUUUAACCAGCCUCAUAUUCAAGAGUGAGUUCAGUUUAUUGGUUUCCAAAAGUGUCUUACCUGCCAUUUACUGCAGUUUCUCAGAAAGCACCAUCUAAGAUCACAAUAAAACCAAAUGGGAAUCAUGAGAUUGAACCUCCACAAAUUCGCCUUACUGAGUGUAUAAUAAUCUGAAAGUCAAAACUUGAUCUUAUCCAUAUGACAAUAAAACCAUUGCAAUAACCCAUAAGAGAUCCAGGAAAACGGCAAAAGCUCCAGCAGAAUAAACAUUUCAUCAAUAAACAGAAACUUUUAUCAUAUCACACACUUGCACUUUAACUGCCAAUACAAUUCAAUCGCACUUUUACUGUCAGCCUCUUAUCCCCCCCCCAAAAAAAAGAAGAAAAAAGAAAGAAAGAAAGAAAGAAAGAAAGAAAGAAAGAAAGAAAGAAAGAAAGAUGCAGGGAAGAUAUACCUGCAAAAGACUGGAAACAUGCAGAGAUGAGCUAGCUGAAUUCUCAUGGUUUCCAGUAAAUUCUAUGGGACAGAAAGAAAAUGGGUGCAAUGUGGGACUUGACUGAAAGUAAGAAAAACCUGGCCCCAAUCCCGUUGUUGUUAUUAUUAUUAUUAUUAUUAUUAUUAUUAUUAUUAUUAUACAUUUUAUUAGUUUUACCAUCAAUUUAACAUUUCAAAAUUUAACUUCCUCCCCCCUCUUUCUGAGGUUCCUUUAAAAAAAUUUUUUUUAAUAUCUUCUGCAUAUCCAAAUUCAUUUAAUUUGCUCAUUUAUCUUCUUUAAAUAUAUACUCUUAUGAAACUGCAGGUUAUUACAACAAUGUUUUUAUCUGUUUGCAGUUUAUCUGUAAAUAUUCCAUAAACCAUUUCCAUUCUUUUAUAAAAAGUUUGUUAUCUUGAUUUCUUAUUCUUCCGGUUAAGUUUCGCCAUUUCUGCAUAUUCCGUACGUUUUCGUAUCCAUUCUUCCUUUGCUGGGACUUCUGCUUCUUUCCACUUUUGGGCAAGUAACAUUCUUGCUGCUGUAGUAGCACACAUGAAUAAGUUUCUGUACAGUUUCGGUAGUUCUGUCCCUAGAAUUCCCAUAAGAAUUAUUAUUAUUUUUCUCAUCAUCAUCAUUUCCCAGCAUACCACCAUACUUUUUCCCAUUUAAGUGAAUGAGUGACAGUACUGGAAACAGUGCAUCAUCCCUUAAGAUUCUCUCAGGCUCCUCCCCAGACUUGCCAGAUUCCUUAAAGUUCUACUCUUACUCUAUCUCUAGCUAGGCAGAUUUCACCUAGGGCAGGCUAGGCCCUCCAGAUGUUUUGAGACUACAAUUCCCAGCAUCCCUGACCACCGGUCCUGUUAGCUAGGGAUCAUGGGAGUUGUAGGCCAAAAACAUCUGGAGGGCUGAGGUUGAGGAAGCCUGACCCAAGGUUACUUAAUCCCAACUCCAGCCUUCCAGGCUGCAUUGGUGGGCGAGCUCAACUUUAAAAGAUAUUGUUGAAAACAAAAGCCAGCAACCUACAGCAGAACAGGACAGCUGUUGCAUAUGUCGCGAUCAUACCAGCAGCGUAGUGCUGGUUGCCCUCGCUACCGAUGCCUCCAGAGCAACCCCACCCCCGCUGGAGCGAAGAAGGGCCACACUUGGUGUAGUGGUUAAGAGCGGUAGACUCGUAAUCUGGUGAACCGGGUUCACAUCCCCGCUCCUCCACAUGCAGCUGCUGGGUGACCUUGGGCUAGUCACACUUCUCUGAAGUCCCUCAGCCCCACUCACCUCACAGAGUGUUUUUUGUGGGGGAGGAAGGAAAAGGAGAUUGUUAGCUGCUUUGAGACUCCUUCGGGUAGUGAUAAAGCGGGAUAUCAAAUCCAAACUCCUCUUCUUCUUCUUCUUCUUCUUCUUCUUCUUCUUCUUCUUCCCGGCCCUUGCAGUGGGGAGCCCAGUUGGCCGACGUGACUCUUGGCAAGCGGAGAAGAUCACUGGGCCAGGCCACGCUGGGUUUGCCUGUGGAAAGAUUACAAAGACUUUAUUUGCGUAGCCAACAGGCCAUAGCAUCAAAGGACAGACACCGACAAAAAUACAUUACAAAUAUAGUUACCGUAUAAUCUUAUGACCUAUUAAAACCCUAAGUAGAAGCUGGAUUAUCAUUCAUCAAUGACCCUCUGUCCCAUAGGCAGUGGCCUUUUCUCUGGUAGAUUGUUCCAGGUCGGUUAAGUAAAUAGACCAGCCAAAUUGAAAGAUUAUAAAUAUAAAUAUAACCUCGGGGGGAUGGUCAGGACAGGGAGAAAGAUAAUAAUAACCAGAUGCAGAUAGGUUAAAAAUCUCAGUACCUAAAACUUAGCAGAGAUAAUAAAAUACUAAUAAUAAAACAUAAGGAUAAUAAUGAUAGGAUCCUUGGCAAGGAAUCCGGGUGACGACACUGAUGUCAUUCAGAUAGCAGCUCUCAGUCUCAUUGCUCUCUCGAAAAAUUUAGCAACCUUCUCUGUUGUCGAGCUGUUCUGGUCGGCUAGGUGUGAGAACAAUUUGGCUUCACAAGAGCGGCCCGGGAUAGCAGAUAGGAGCGGCGUGAUGGUUGCUUGGUUUGCACCCGCUCAAAAAUUGUGCACUCAGGCCCCACUCCCGGCACCCCCCACUCUAUGCCCCUGGAUCAUAAUGGGAGGUGGCAGGCAGAUAGGUUCAUAAAUAAAUAAAAAAGUUAAAGGACCCCUGGACAGUUAAGUCUAGUCAAAGGCGACUAUGGGGUUGCAGCACUCAUCUCGCUUCAGGCCGAGUGAACUGGCGUUUGUCCACAGACAGCUUUCCGGGUCAAGUGGCCAGCAGGACUAAACUGCUUCUGGCGCAACGGGACACCGUGACGGAAGCCAGAGCGCACUGAAAUGCCAUUUACCUUCCCACCAUAACAGUAUCUAUUUAUCUUCUUGCACUGGCGUGCUUUCGAACUGCUAGGUUGGCAGGAGCUGGGACAGAGCAACGGGAGCUCAUGCCGUCGCAGGGAUUCGAACCACUGACUUUCUGAUCGGCAAGCCCAAGAGGCUCAGUGGUUUAGACCACAGCACCACGAGCGUCUCAUCCAGGUUUGUAAAUAUGCUCAUGUUUGCAUGGUACUCUCUCUCUCUCUCUCUCUCUCUCACACACACACACACCACCUUUGAACCAAUAGAGAAUUCACUUUUCCGUAAAAUCCUUUCACCAUUGGAUUCCUCUGUUAAGAGUUGCAGAAGGAGAAUACACCAUUUUCUCUUCCUCCGUAGAGUUUUGCUACUUGCAAAAGCCUGCCAUUAUAAUUUACUCAUUGGCUUUCCAUUCCCAUUUCUUUCCCUGCGAGAUAACAUAAAGAUCAGCUGCUCCCUGCUGUGAUAAUUCACGUAGAUCAUGAGACUUUGAUAGACGUGACAACAGAAAUAACCUUCAGGUUGCUACUCCUUUUAUGCUAGCUGCACACACAAGAGCCCUCUACCCCAGAGUGCCCGGCGUGAGGGUUACAAAAGGUCCUCACCCGCAAGUGCAGAGUUCAGAAAGUAAAAAAAAAAAUCUUAUCACGACCACCUCACAGCGUAAAGCCAGAGAUUAAUCAUGGGGGAAGGGGUGCUCUCUGUUAUUGACAGAGUUGUAUCGCAGAAAUGACAGCGUGAGGCAGGUAAGCAGUACUUGUGAGUGCACAACAAACUGGAGAAAGGGAUUUUCAUAAAGCUCAGACAGAUACCCUUUGGAAUGGAGUGCUUAAACAAGCUGGUGGGGCUUUGCAGAAGGAAAUAGAUAGCAUCGCUGGAUCGGGCGUCUGUUUUCACCAUAUGCUUACAAGAGAUAGCUAGAUCACAGAAAGCAGAGAGCGAGAGAGAGUCUAUUAAGCCAGAUGAGUGGAAGGGUAUUCAAUGAGACUAAUGAGUAAUGCAUCUUAGACAGCAUCUUAAAAAGCAGACACAUCACCUUGCCAACAAAGGUCCAUAUAGUUAAAGCUAUGGUUUUCCCAGUAGUGAUGUAUGGAAAUGAGAGCUGGACCGUAAAGAAGGCUGAUCGCCGAAGAAUUGAUGCUUUUGAAUUAUGGUGCUGGAGGAGACUCUUGAGAGUCCCAUGGACUGCAAGAAGAUCAAACCUAUCCAUUCUUAAGAAAAUCAGCCCUGAGUGCUCACUGGAAGGACAGAUUGUGAAGCUGAGACUCCAAUACUUUGGUCACCUCAUGGGAAGAGAAGACUCCCUGGAAAAGACCCUGAUGUUGGGAAAGAUGGAGGGCACAAGGAGAAGGGGACGACAGAGGACGGGAUGGUUGGACAGUGUUCUUGAAGCUACCAGCAUGAGUUUGACUAAACUGCGGGAGGCAGUGGAAGACAGGAGUGCCUGGCGUGCUCUGGUCCAUGGGAUCACAAAGAGUCGGACACGACUAAACGACUAAACAACAACAACAAUGAGUAACGCCUUGGAAUGGCAAACAAAAGAUGAACGGGUUAAAUCUGUAAUGAUACACUGGGCAAGGGAUUUGGGGCAUAAUAUCCAAAUUUCAGAUUGGAAAAGGUUAUGGAAAACUGACUUGAAAUUCUUGGCGUGUUGUACGCUGAAAGAAAACUACAAUGGUACCUCUGGAUGCGAACGGGAUCCGUUCCGGAGCCCCGUUCACAUCCUGAAGCAAACGCAACCCGCGUCUGCACAUCUGCACGUGCGCGGGUCGCGAUUUAUCACUUCUGUGCAUGCGCGCAACGUCAUUUUGAGCGUCUGUGCAUGCACGAGUGGCGAAACCCGGAAGUAACGCGUUCCAUAACUUCCAGGUCACCACGGAGCGCAACCCAAAAAUGCUCAACCCGAAGCUACUUCAACCCAAGGUAUGACUGUAUAUGAAAAUCAUGUACUGGUGGUAUUUGACUCCUAGGAAAUUAGCAAAAAUGUAUAAGACAAGCACAAAUACCUGCUGGAAAUGUAAAGAAAAAGGAGGUACCUUUUACCAUAUGUGGUGGUCGUGUAAGGUAAUAAAAGCAUUCUGGGAAAUGAUAUAUAAUGAAUUGAAAAAACGUUCAAAAUAACUUUUAUUUUAAAAAGAAGCUUUUUUAUUAAGAAUUGUAGGUACCGAGAUCCCAAAGGAGCAGAAAAGACUUUUCAUGUACGUGACAACAGCUGCAUGCAUGCUACUAGCCCAGAGAUGGAAAGAAGAUAAAGUCCCUACCAGAGAGGAAUGGCAAACCAAGCUGCUGGACUGCACCAAAAUGGCAAAACUGACCAGAAAACUCAGGAACCAAGAAGACAAAAACUUCAAUAAAAGAUGGGGAGAAUUUAUAAUUUAUUUAGGAGACCACUGUAAGCAAAUGAAAACAUUAGCAGGAUUUUAAUAACACUUACAAUGUAACAAUCACUAUAGACAAUAUGGAGAGAUACAAAAUAUGGAUUAUGAAAUAAUAUGCGGUUGGAAAUGUUGACAAUAAGACCCAUAGAGUGGAGGCUGGGAAGUCUGGCGAAAUCUCUAAAUAUGGAUAUGUAUUUUGGUAUUGUUAUAACUUUACACUUGCAGGACAAGGCAUUGGUCUUUUCAUACCCCAACCGAACUAAUAAGAGACCAAUGAGACUGGUUUUGGGGGUCAAAACAGGCCACAACUUUACUGAAAGUCUUUAAAUUCUUCUGGAUGACCUAACAUGGCAGUAAAGCCUCUCCUCCUCCCGGGGGGGAGGGGUUGUGAUCUGGAACCGUUCCCAUGCUUCGCAGGGCGCGUUUCGGCCCCUGCUUGCCGUCAUUGCUGCCGCGCCAUGCUUCCCGGUCAGUCUUCCAAUUGGAGGGAAGCUCGGGGGCAGGGUUUAGCCGGUCAAAUGCGGCCGCGGCAGCUCUUUCCCCUCAUUGCGCUGCCGGGUUUCAACGGGUCAACCACCCACCCUUCCCUUUAGUUCAUCGCUUCGUGCUUGACCUUGCUAUGGACCUCUGGUUGGUCGCCCUGGUUGCCCAAGGGGCCUGGUAGGAGUUUUUACCCAAUUGGCAAAUUGGCGCCGGCCACUUGGUUUUUCACCUACCUUCUAGCAAAUCGUCACAACUUUCUGGUAUUGCCGGUUAGGCAUUGGAAUAUGUUGUUGGUGUAUGGAAGGGCAGGGUGUGGCCAUCGCCUACCGCUUCACUUUAUGGGUAUUCCGUUAAAGGAAUCUGGUGGUCGUGGAUCCUGUCCGAUGACCUGCUGGUGGCUGGGGGCCGUGGCACGACCCCCGGUGACAUCAGGGGAGAGCUUACGGUUGUAUUUGCAUCAACAGGCUCCCCCUAUUGGUGGUUAACCCUUGUUAGGCUCACCCCUCCCUGAGGGGGUGGAGUCAAGCUCUGCUGUUUAUCCAAUGCCUAAGCCAAUACCUCUCACAUGCUGUAAUCAAUAAAGUUGUGGCCUUUUCUUGCCCAUUAACCUACUACAGGUGAAACUCAAAAAAUUAGAAUAUCGUGGAAAAGUUCAUUGAUUUCAGGAAUUCAACUUCCAAGGUGAAACUAAUAUAUGAGAUCAACUCAUGACAUGCAAAGCAAGAUGUGCUUCCACUUCUCGGAGGUCCAAUCUUGCUCCAUUUCCAAUCUUUGUUUUGCUGAUUUCCUUGAAUAUUCUAAUUUUCUGAGAUUGUUAAUUUGGGGUUUUCAUCAGCUGUAUGCCAUGACCAUCACAAUGAUAACAAAUCAAGGCAAAAAUAUCUCGCUCUGCAUGUCACGAGUCUAUCUCAUAUAUUAGUUUCACCUUUUAAGUUGAAUUACGGAAAUCAAGGAACUUCUCCACGAUAUUCUAAUUUUUCGAGUUUCACCAGUAUACUGUGUCCUUGUGUCUUUCUUAUCCCAAAGUGGGGGGUUCCUCGAAUCACAAUGUGGGUUUCCUGUUUUAAAAUGUCUCGUGCCUCUUCUGGCAACCGUCGCUCCCUCUAUCCCGCUCUUUGUUGUGGCCAUACAUUCAGAGCUAGGGAUAGAACAUUGAGCCACUUCCAAGAGGAACUCAGCAAGCUGAGCAGCACGGAGACAGAACAAUGGCUACUGGCAACAGAGCAGAAACAGAGGGACAGGGUAUUUUUGAAUAUUAUGUUGCUGGAAAGCAAGAGGGACCACACAAUAAAAAUGGGAACCAGAAGAGAGGAGAAUAGAGGACAACAAAAAGACAAUUAAGCGGUCAAAUGACAGCUCAUUUGAGCUGGCUGUAUUUAUUAUAUUACAUGGAGACCAGACCUCUUUUCUUGUUCCAGGUUCCUUCUCUUUCACUUCUGGUAUUCCUCUCAAUCCCAAAUCAUUUUAGAUAGAGUUUCAAGCUUAACGUUGACGACGACAAAUUUAAGAAUCAUCUUUUUACACAUACGUCUCAAUGUAAUUUAGAGAUAUUAAAACAGCUAUAAUAGGGUUUGUUUGUUUGUUUGUUUUUUAAAUGUACAAAAAACUGAAAGUUGGUUUUUAAAAACUGGUGGGUCAAUCAACUACAGCCCUGGAGGUGCUACAGACUACUGCUUUCAUCACUCCUUGAAAUUUGCCAUGCUGGCUGGAGCUGAUUAGGAACUAUAAGUUCAAUGACAUCUCAGAGGUGCCCAUAUAACUGCCAAAUCCUGUUGAGUUGGAUGAGUUUCGGCCCAGUAUACCUGAAGGAGCAUCUCCACCCCCAUCAUUCAGCCCGGACACUGAGGUCCAGUUCCAAGGGUCUUCUUGCGGUUCCCUCACUGGGAGAAGGGAGGUUACAGGGAACCAGGCAAGAGGGCCUUCUCGGUAGUGGUGCCCGCCCUGUGUAAUGCCCUCCCAUCAGAUGUCAAGGAAAUAAAGAACUAUCUGAUGUUUAGAAGAUAUCUGAAAGCAGCCCUGUUUAGGGAAGUUUUUAAUGUUUGGUGUUUUAUCAUGUUUUUAAUAUUCUGUUGGGAGUUGCCCAGAGUGGCUGGGGAAACCCAGCCAGAUAGGCAGGGUAUGUAUGUAUGUAUGUAUGUAUGUAUGUAUGAAUGAAUGAAUAAAUAAAUAAACUAUUAUUAUUAUUAUUAUUAUUAUUAUUAUUAUUAGCAAGGCUUAAGCAUGUGGACAAGGCCUUGUAAAUGUGUUUGUGGGUAGGUGGGGUAUUGCUUUGUUUCCGUUUCCAUUUUUGCUUUUGUUUUAGCAUGUAUUCUAGUGAGCCUUCCUGUGAUCUAUACAAGUUCAUAACAAUAGAUAGAUAGACAGAUAGACAGACAUAUAUAGCUAUAGCUAUAGAUAUAGAUACCCCUGACCGUUAGGUCCAGUUGCGGACGACUCUGGAGUUUCGCGCUCAUCUCGCUCUAUAGGCUGAGGGAGCCGGCGUUUGUCCACAGACAGCUUCCGGGUCAUGUGGCCAGCAUGACGAAGCCGCUUCUGGCGAACCAGAGCAGUGCACGGAAAUGUAGUUUACCUUCCCGCCGGAGCGGUACCUAUUUAUCUACUUGCACUUUGACAUGCUUUCGAACUGCUAGGUGGGCAGGAGCAGGGACCGAGCAACGGGAGCUCACACCGUCACGGGGAUUUGAACCACCAACCUUCUGAUCAGCAAGCCCUAGGCUCAGUGGUUUAGACCACAGUGCCCCCACAUCCUUAUAGAUAUAGAUAUAUUAAGAGGGAGAGAGAGAGAGAGAGAGAGAGAGAGAGAGAGAGAGAGAGAUGUUGAGGACCAUUAACCACUUCUGAACUAAAACAGCAAUUCAUGGAUUAAGGAUGUGUCAGUGAAAGCAAAUCUUAAAAAUUGGUAAGGCUGAGAAUUAAAGGUCACUUGGCUUCUGAACCUGUUUUGGUUCUGCUGCAUUGUGGGCAAAGAGUGGGGGGGAACAAUUUUAAGGUUGCCUUUUCUUCUAAAAACGUGCUUUCAUUUGCUUAUUAAAUUGCUUGUAUUCUCACACUUUCUUGCAAAUCUGAACGAAUCUUUGUCACUGAAUUCAUUCUAUACAGAUUUGUUUAAACGAAAUCCACUGAUUAGCUUAAGUAUCCAGUUAAAAGUAAUCAAAAGGAACCUGUCACAAAUGCUGCAAUCCAAUGGGCGCUAAUGCGUCUAAAAUGUUGGCUUAAUUCUUUCAGGACCCUUUUACAGCAUUCAUUUGGGAAUCAUUGGACAAGUGUAAAGUAUCUCUUUGAAUCCUGGCCAGCUGUUUGUUAUCCCAUUGGUUCUGGCUUGCUCUAAAAGAAAUCUCUUUGCCCAGAAAACAUUUCAGUUUGGCUUCUUUUCCACAAUAAACAAACAAACGACACUUUAAAAAAUGCUCAUCUGUUAAAAUAUGUAAAUCUCUACUUAAAAGUUACUCGAUUAGCAGAAGAAAUAAGCAGUCAUUGUGGCUUUAUUUCAAAAUGAAAAGUAUUAACAGUUGCUCACAAGGGCAAGUGAGGGUCUUCCACCAAAAUCUAAUUUUCAGAGCUUUCCAAAGGGGGGAAAAAUGGGGUUUAUUUAUACAACCAGCCUGUUGACUGCUGUUUCAGAAAUGGGUGGGGGACAAUGUUAUUUGGUUAAGAAUUUGGCACCUUGUUCAGAAAUACAAGGUUUUCCUAUUAAAAAUACAUCUUGAUUUUCUCGCAACCCUUUGAAAUUCUGCGAUUGAAUCAGAGCUAAAAAGGGCUAACUGACUCAAAUGUCACCAGAGUUGCAAACACUGAGAGGCCUUAGACCUCCUGGGAUUUUUUCUCAGCUUUGCCCUCUUGUGCAAUGGAGUGAUAAUGAUACCGCGUUACUUGAUAGGUUGCAAGCAUGACUGUGAAUGUGUUGUGAAGCACUUUGAACACUCAGAAAAGGUGCUGUAUAUGCUGCGAAUCUUUCAUAAUGAGGUUUCAGAUAUUUGCAAGUCUGUCCACCUUUUCAGACCCUCCAAGUGCCCCUAUUUUUCAGGGACACUCCCUGGUAUACCGAAGCUGACCCAGUUUCUGAUUUGAUCCUGGAAUGUCCCACUUUUCCUCAGAGUGUUCCUAUUUUCAUUGGAGAAAUGUUGGACGCUAUGGUAGGAUCUUGCUAUUGUCAUCAGAGAAAUAUUGGCAGGUAUGGAGUUAUGUGAACCCUGAGGCAAGGAAAUAAGUAACUGUAUAACCUUUAGAAGUCACCUGAAGGCAGCCCUGUACAGUGGUACCUCGGGUUACAUACGCUUCAGGUUACAGACGCUUCAGGUUACAGAUUCCGCUAACCCAGAAAUAGUACCUCGGGUUAAGAACUUUGCUUAAGGAUGAGAACAGAAAUCGUGCUUUGGUGGUGCGGCGGCAGCAGGAGGCCCCAUUAGCUAAAGUGGUGCUUCAGGCUAAGAACAGUUUCAGGUUAAGAACGGACCUCCAGAACGAAUUAAGUACUUAACCCGAGGUACCAAUGUAUAGGGAAAUUUUUAAUGUUUAAUGUUUUAUUAAGUUUUUGUGUAUGUUGGAAGCCACCCAGAGUAGCUGGGGAAACUAGUCAAGAUGGGUGGGGUAUAAAUAAUAAAAUGAUGAUGGUAAAAUAGGAUUUCCCUAUUGUCAUCGGAGAAAUGUUGAAGGGUAUGCCUUUUCCUUCUCCCAUAAAAAAGCCCGGAUACAGAGGCCCAGCUCCGAGGGUCUUCUGGUGGUUCCCUCCAUGCAAGAAGUGAGCUUACAGGGAACCAGGCAGAGGGCCUUCUCGGUAGUGGCGCCUGCCCUGUGGAACGCCCUCCCAUCAGAUGUCAAGGAAAUAAACAACUAUCUAACUAUUUAGUUAGCAGCCCUAUUUAGGGAACCUUUUAAUGUUUGGCUGGGAGAACCCAGCCAGAUGGGCGGAGUAUAAAUAAUCUAUUAUUAUUAUUAUUAUUAUUAUUAUUAUUAUUAAUCAGUGCUUUUUUCUGGGGGGGCUCAGGGGGACACAUACCCCUAAACAUUUUGUGAAUCUAAGUUUGGCCUCAUUGAGGGGCAGUAUUUCAAUAUGAGUAGGAAAAUGAGAGUACCCCUAAACAUUUUUUAAGAAAAAAAGUACUUAUUAUUAUUAUUAUUAUUAUUAUUAUUAUUAUUAUUAAGAACAAAAGACAAUCAAGAAAAAAAGCAUGGUCCAAACUGGAUUUGAACACUGAACCAUUCAUCUCAGCUUCUGUAUGUUGAUAUGUGCUCAGUGCCUAACUAAUGUAUGCAUUCUUGAAUUGAAAUAACAAUCCUAUUCUCUCUCUCAACUUUAUUUUCAAGGGAAAUAUAUUCUAUUUAUUUGGUACAUUUAUAUACCGCCUAUUAACUUGGUCCUCCGGACAGUUCACAUCAUUAUCAAAACAACAAACUUCAAGGUGCACUCAGGGUCAUGCACAUCAAAAGUGUUCAGAGCUCUUCCACAGACCCCUGGCUUCAGCAGUGAAAGAGAUCUGUCCCAUAUCUAUCGGCAAUUUCCAGCUCUGCUCUGGGGCUGAUAACAAAGAAGACAGCAAACAUUUUGGCCCAUGACUGGGGGCGGGGUGGGGAAUUGCAUGCAUUAUCAUCCGCACAGUACAGAGAUAUUUCAUCUAUUAAUAAUGCAUGGGUUAUGAAUAAAUAGCAAGUGACAAUUGGGAUGACUGCUGUUUUGGAUGUUAUAAACCAUAACGUUUCUGUGCAAACAGUUCAUGAAUAUAGAGAAGAAAGGAUUUUAAUGGAAUGAAUCAGUAGCAGCAGAAGAAGAAAAAAAAGAAAGAAUUCCAGAUGAAAAGGGAGCUUGUUUUGCACAGCACUGGGAAACACAGAAGGCUGUUCUCAUAUGAAAGGCAGGUUUCUCCUUUUCCGCAUGAAUGCACAUGGACAAAAGUCUCAUUUGAUGCUCAGGGAUGGAUCCUAAUUAUUUCAUUGUAUUAAUUUAGUCACACAUGACAUUAUUUAUAUGUACAAUGCCAUCGACAUGCAGAGCAACAUGGGGGGGGGGGGAGGAAGAAGGAAUGUCCCUUCCCAGGGAAACUUUCCUUCUCAAUUUCUGCAGUGGAAGAAACUAUUCCUAGAGUGGAAACACUCUGUUGAUACAUGCUAAACAGACAGCUGCCAUCUUCACAGUCCUGCCGACCAAUCUUUCAUGUUGCAUGCUUUAAAGUGCUGUGGGUGCCCGCCCACGCCCCAAAUCUCCUUGCAGUGGUCCUGGUAUGCAUAAGGGAUUCCAAAUGUCCUCAAAUAAUAAUAAUAAUAAUAAUAAUAAUAAUAAUAAUAAUAAUAAUGUCUCUGCUUUUUAAAAAAGAAAAAAAAAAGCAAAAAAAGGUCCGUAUAGUUAAAGCCAUGGUUUUUCCAGUAGUGAUGUAUGGAAGUGAGAGCUGGACCAUAGAGAAGGCUGAUCGCCAAAGAACUGAUGCUUUUGAAUUAUGGUGCUGGAGGAGACUCUUGAGAGUCCCAUGGACUGCAAGAAGAUCAAACCUCUCCAUUCUGAAGGAAAUCAGCCCUGAGUGCUCACUGGAAGGACAUAUGCUGAAGCUGAGGCUCCAAUACUUUGGCCACCUCAUGAGAAGAGAAGACUCCCUGGAAAAGACCCUGAUGUUGGGAAAGAUGGAGGGCACAAGGAGAAGGGGACGACAGAGGACGGGAUGGUUGGACAGUGUUCUCAAAGCUACGAACAUGAGUUUGACCAAACUGGGGGAGGCAGUGGAAGAUAGGAGUGCCUUGUGUGCUGUGGUCCAUGGGGUCACGAAGAGUCGGACACGACUAAACGACUAAACAACAACAUUUUUAUUAAUUUAUUUCUUAUACCCUGCCCAUCUGACCGGGCCUCCCCAGCCAUUCUGGGUGGCUCCCAACACAAUAUUAUAAACACGAUAAAACAUCAAACAUCAAAAACUUCCCUUGAGAUGUCUUCUAAAAGUCAGAUAGUUGUUUAUUUCCUUGACACCUGAUGGGAGGGCGUUCCACAGGGCAGGCGCCACCACCGAAAAGACCCUCUGCCUGGUUCCCUGUAACCUCAUUUCUCGCAGUGAGGGGAUCGCCAAAAAGCCCUUGGAGCUGGACCUCAGUUUCUGGGCUGAAUGAUGGGGGUGGAGGCGCUCCUUCAGAUAUACUGGGUCGAGGCCAUUUAGGGAGGAGGAGGCACACAAAGGAGGGCUUCAGAAGGUGACCUCAGAGUCUGGGUAGGUUCAUGUGGAAAGAAGUUGUCCUUGAGGUAUUGCGGUCCUGGGCCGUUUAAGGCUUUAUAGGUCAAACCAGCACUUUGAAUUGGGCCCAGAAACUAAUUGGUAGCCAAUGCAGUUGGACCAGGAUCAGUGUACUAUGCUCAAACCGUCUUGCUCCAGUGAGCAACCUGGCUGCUGAAUUCUGCACCAGCUGAAGUUUCUGAACCAUCUUCAGAGGCAGCCCUACUUAUAACGCAUUGCAGUAAUCUAACUUGAAGUUACCAGAGCAUAGACAACAGUAGUUAGGCUAUCCCUGUCCAGACACUCCGGGCCACAGAAGAAGAAGAAGAAGAAGAAGAAGAAGAAGAAGAAGAAGAAGAAGAAGAAGAAGAAGAAGAAGAAGAAGAAGAAGAAGAAGAAGAAGAAGAAGAAGAACAACAACAACAACAACAACAACAACAACAACAACAACAACAACACACCCUGAACUUUCUUAUGAGUAAGCAUUUUUAGGACCAAAGUAUUGUAAUGGCUUGCGGGACGCGGGUGGCGCUGUGGGUAAAACCUCAGUGCCUAGGACUUGCCGAUUGUAUGGUCGGCGGUUCGAAUCCCCGUGGUGGGGUGAGCUCCCGUCUUUCGGUCCCAGCUUCUGCCCACCUAGCAGUUCGAAAGCACCCCUAAGUGCAAGUAGAUAAAUAGGUACCGCUUUAUAAUGGGAAGGUAAACGGCGUUUCCGUGUGCUGCGCUGGUGCUGGCUCACCAGAGCAGCUUUGUCACGCUGGCCACGUGACCCGGAAGUGUCUUCGGACAGCGCUGGCUCCCGGCCUCUUAAGUGAGAUGAGCGCACAACCCUAGAGUCGGACACGACUGGCCCGUACGGGCAGGGGUACCUUUACCUUUACCUUUAUUGUAAUGGCUUAGCAGUUAGCACAGUAGGUCCUUUGGAAAUAUGGCUUGCAGCAAGCAUUUGCAAGCAACUCGCAUGCAAGGAUUAAUGACCAAAAACACAUGGAAUUUGUGUAAUUUUAAUUGGGUAAGGUGCAUCAUUUUCGCAAGCUUGAUAAGGUCAUUUGAGAAACAAUUAGGUGGCACCAUGGGGUAAAUAAAGCAGGCACAUGGAAUAAAUGAUAGCUCACCUAACCUUUCUUAGCUCCUGUAAUUGCGUACACAUUAUUCAAAGUUAAGCAAAAGGACACACGUAAAUUGGACCCUCCACUGUGAUAUAGCUGCCACGAGACAAACGCGAUAAUGCCCGGGCUGGCGCAUGGCUCACAAAACAUGAUAUUAUAGAUCUCCUUCAGACCAUUGACAGAGUUUGCAAAUUGCAUAACUUGCCUAAUUCCUGCUUUGAGAUAGUGUUCCUGCUCGCUGCAUAAUGCUCAUCAGUCUUUCAGAAACUGUCGCGGGUCGCUAACAAUAGCUGUCAUUGAGAAAAUAAUCCUAGGCAAUUUUCUACCAGAUAAUUCAACCUACCGUGUUAUCUUCUUCAGGGGAGUGAAAGGGGAACGCCAGGGGAGCUUAAACGGUGGCUUUACCCAGCGAAAGAUUAUUCCAGUUCUGAGGCAGCUCUGCUUAAAAAGGUUAGAAGCCUAGAAAUACUCUACAUUCCAUCAACAGCGGAAUGCACUGAUAAUGGCAGAGUUUAAACAGCCGCUCCAAUUAUCAUCAAAUAGCAUGUAAAAGUCUACUCCAAAGCUACCAAAGUCUAUUAGCUUAUCCUUCUCUCAAAGCCAUGGUAGUGCUCUAGUUCCCUUCUGCUUCACAAUGAUAUGGAUUUGCGUCCGUGAGAAUCGGCAGACGGUACUUCGCUCUUAUCAGUUGCUGGGGAAAAUCGUGAAUUCAGAACUUUCCAAAACCUGACGUGAAGCCUAUUUAAAAUUAGAAACUGACAUGAAAUCAGUGUUUUGGACUUUGCCCGCUACUUAGAGAGAAGAGCCGUCUUCCAUUCCUAGGGUGAGCCAGGCUGGUGGCCCCACGGCAGGGAGGUACCUUGUCAUCGUCCCCCAGUGUGUCCUUUGGAAGAAGUGCAGCGGCAGAAUAAAACCACCUGGUGCUGUGCCCUGCAAGCAGAGGGGCAGGCAGGUGGUAGGGCUGAGCGAUAUCCGGUUUUCAACAUCGUGAUGCAUCACCAGCUGAACAUCGCAAUAGACAAUGUCUGGAAUAAGGAUGGAGCUGUGUAGGUUCUUACACAGCUUUUAGAAGACAUCUGAAGGCAGCCCUGUACCGGGAGGUUUUUACUGCUUGAUAUUUUUAUUAUGUUUUUAGAUGUGCUAUAAGCCACCCAGAGUGGCUGGGGAAACCCAGUCAGAUGGGGAAGGUAUAAUAAAUAAAUAAAUAAAUAAACAAACAAACAAACAAACAAACAAAUGCAGGCCCUAGUUUUGGGCAGAGAACAAUCUUUUCUAUAUUUUCAUGAGCAUUUUGACAGUAUUUAAAUAUCUAAUAAUAAUCACCAUUUUUAAAAAUAAAUGACGAAUGAUGAUACCUGAUUUGAAUAUAGUUUCCUCCAUUAGUUCUACUUACACUACCCAUAGCAGACUUCCUAGUUCCAAGUCAGCAGAAACAUGUGAUUUUGUUGCCCGAUUCAUCAACAUUCACUGAGAUAGGUAAAGGUAAAGGGACCCCUGACCAUUAAGUACAGUCGUGACUGACUCUGGGGUUGCGGCGCUCAUCUCGCUUUAUUGGCCAAGGGAGCCAGCGUACAGCUUCCGGGUCAUGUGGCCAGCAUGACUAAGCCGCUUCUGGAGAACCAGAGCAGUGCACGGAAACACCAUUUACCUUCCCGCCGGAGCGGUACCUAUUUAUCUACUUGCACUUUGACAUGCUUUCGAACUGCUAGGUUGGCAGGAGCAGGGACCGAGCAACGGGAGCUCACCCUGUUGCGGGGAUUCAAACUGCCAAUCUUCUGAUUGGCAAAUCCUAGGCUCCAUGGUUUAACCCACAGCGCCACCUAAAACAUGUGUCUUGGGACACCGUACUCUUGCGGGAGUGGGGCCCCGGAAGGCGGGCGUCCCAGUUUUCCGCAGCAACAUCAGAGGGUAUGUGGACCAAGCUCAGAAUGCCUCUUUAUCGACAUUUCAAAUUCACCAACUUUUGAGAAUCUGCAACGGUGGCAGAAACAGCAGCUUCUCUCUUUGCUCCAUAAUCUUUGUUGCCACGGCAAAACAAAUAUGUUGAUGGACUAACAUCACCACAGCCGAAAAGCUGACACCAGGGAUCAGAUGGUAGACCACUGAGAGACUACUGAAGAUUGGUGACUUCGACUUUUGAAAUCAUGGGUAUCAGUGAGCAUCCUAAAGGAUUUUUUACUUCCACACUUUAAGGACAAAUAAAUCUUGCUAGACAAUAUGUUUUCUGCCGGUUGGCAGGUAUAUUAUUGUAGGAAGCAGGUGCUUCACCAGUGUCAUGGAAGCCACUUUGCAUAAUAGAAUGCAGAAAUAAAGACUCAGCAUACAGCAGAAGAUCUGUUCUUCAGUGUAAAUAAAUUUAGCAGCCAGUUGGAGAGGUGUAUUCUCAAGAGUACUACUAUUUUGUCUAUUCAGCAAGCCAUAAAUCAGUUGGCUGUUCCUUUUCUGGCUGCAGAGAGCAAGUGAGUCACAGUCGGUCAUGGGAACUUCACAAAGUAAAUUUGAGUCACAAAGGCCUGAAAAACGUGGGACCCACAUGAUAAGUUCUGCCCAUUAAGCAUAUAUAUGGUCGCCAGGGAGAAGUUCGAGCCUGUUUUGGUCACCUAUCUGGGACUGCAAACCUGGUUUCAGAGCUCUCAGCAGAUCACGAGGAACAACUGGUGGGCUAUCUUCACAAGUACAGUGGUACCUUGGGUUAAGUACUUAAUUCAUUCCAGAGGUCCAUACUUAACCUGAAACUGUUCUUAACCUGAAGCACCACUUUAACUAAUGGGGCCCCCUGCUGCCGCCGAGCCACUGGAGCACAAUUUCUGUUCUCAUCCUGAAGCAAAGUACUUAACCUGAGGUAAUAUUUCUGGGUUAGCAGAGUCUGUAACCUGAAGUGUAUGUAACCUGAAGCGUAAGUAACCCGAGGUACCACUAUAGUACAGUUAAAACCUGUGAAAGGUGUCCUUUCAAUAGGGCCCUCGGGCCAAAGUGUAGAAAUCAGGAUCAGAUAAGUUUGUUCCUCCAAAUGCAAGAGAGGAUAACCCCUUGACCCACCAAGCAAAACUCCCAGGAUGCCAUGCGGUGUCUUGGAGCAGAAUGAAAGCUUACAUGGGGGUGAGUGAGUGGGGGUGAAAAGGUUAAGUGUUGAGGGUGCCUUGACUGCUCAUUUCCAGUUUGGUUUUGGGCAGGCUUCCUGUUAUGUACUGAGUUGAAUAGGAUCCAAAAUGCAGCAGUCUGAUUGGUCCUAGAACAAUAGGAUUCAGAAUGCAGCAGUCUGAUUGGUCCUAGAACAAUAGGGUCCAGAAUGCAGCAGUCUGAUUGGUCCACAGAAGCCACCCAAUCCAGCUCCAGGUGGAAGUGAAUCCACAACCUGAUUGGUCCACAGGUGAAUCCCAGAAUUAGCCAAUCACGUGGGGCCCAUUGUGUAAAUAAUGUAUAUGAAGCAGACAUUCUGGGGGAACUCCCAUUCCUCCUCACCACUAUGAGCUGAAUAAAGAGCAUGAAAUCCACUCUCGACUCCCGACUAUAUUUCAUGCUCCAAUUGGAGAACAGCCUUUACCAAAGGUGUCAUGGGCUUUGAAGACGCUCAAACUUAGGACGCAAGGGAGAAACGUGCUAAGAGGAAGGCAUGCUUGGCAAAUCCACACCAUGAUCAACUCCCACCCGGAAACCUAUGUCCCCACUGUGGAAGACUGUGUGGAUCCAGAACUGGCCUCCAAAGUCACUUACGGACUCAGGACUGUGUUCAUGGAAGGAAAUCUUACUCGGCUACAAGUGAUUGCCAAAGAAGAAGAAGAAAGAAGAAGAACUGCAGUUAGAAACAGAGUAUUUUCUCCACAGCUAUGAAGUAAUACCUUCUCCCCAGAGCGGUGUGCAGCUCCCCCUUUCAGGGGGCAUUUGUAAGGGGUUGUAGAGCACACAUUGGGCAGGGUGCUGGCCUUUAGCCUUCCUGGUUAACUAUACUUUUUCCCAUUUAAAUCACACUUUUAAAGUUUUUGCAUUUGAUUUUAUAUUCUGCCUUAACAGUUUAUCAUCUGCUUACAAUGACUGUUGAAAGCUGCCUUGAGCCUCGCAAAGGUGGCAGAGAAACAUUUUCAACAGCAUCCUCUCAGCUUAGCACCCAAAUGCCAAACUUUCUCCCUUGCCAUGCCCACGCGGAUGUUUCCGUUUGAUGUUGCAGGCCUGUUCUUUGGUUUUAUGGGCAAAACACAGGCUUCAAUUUUUGGCAAGAGCCAAUGUUUUUGUGCAGCUCUGCUCUUGAUAAGGCAGGAAUUUGCUACUAACCCAGAACCACAAAGUGGAAAGAAAGAAGAGAAGGUUAUCUCUGCUAGAGUACUCGGCAUAAGGAGACCAGGGAUGGGCAAUCUGUGGCCCUGAAGAUGUUGCUGCGAAUGUGUGGUUGAUCACCGGCUCCCUUUCCGGCCCCACCCCCUUGCCCAAGCCUCCAUUGUUGAAUGUUCUGCAGACGGAGGCUGUUUGCUUCCCCAGCGACCUGUGACUGGCUGAUUAGAUUAUCUGUCUGGGAACUGUAGAAAUGGCUCCCUUUCCUUUCCUAAAGAAGCUGCAGAACUGUGAGUUGAACCCCAUAAAAACAGGAUUUUUUUCCCCAUUGCAAAGUAAGCUCAACAACUUUGAGCUGAUUUCAAAAAAAUGGGGCUUUCCCCCUUUCCUCCUCUAAAAACUAGGUGCGUCUUAUGGAGCGAAAAAUAUGGUAAAUCAUAUGGGACACAUGGCCAUCCAACCUCUGCUUUAAAACUUCUAAGGAAAGGGAGUCCAACACCUCCUGAGGGAGUCCAUUCUACUUCCAAGCAGCUCUUACUGUCAGAAAGUUAUUCGUGAUGUUGUCGGAAUCUCCGGCCUUGGAACUUGAAGCCAUUGGUUCGAGUUCUAACCUUCAGAGCAGGAGAAAACAAGAUAAUGUUGCAAAACAUCUGGAGUGCCCUCAGUUCCCCAUUCUUAGCUUAAACCUAUGAGGUCUUAUCAGAGAAAUAACUUCAUUUUCUAGCUUAAUUCUCAAAUAAUAUGCAGUUGUACCUUGGAAGUUGAACGGAAUCCAUUCCGAAAGUCCAUUUGACUUCCAAAGCGCAUCUUCAGUAUAUUUCAAUUUGAUUAGGUGCAAAAUGGAAGGAGGGGGGAUUGUGUGAGCUGUGAGGGGAUGGGGAGUUGGGGGGAGCUGUGUGUGGUCUGGCAGCCAAUCGGAAGCCGUGGAAGCAACGCCGGACACUCGGCUUCCAAAAAUCAUUCAAAAACUGGUACAAUCACUUCCAGGUUUCGAUCAUUCGGGAGCUGAAAUGUUCGAGUUCAAAGGUAUUCAGUUUCCGAGGUUCCACUGUAUUUGGAACCUAGCUCGUGUGGUAUAAAUGCUUUAGUUUUUUCGAUUAACUGCAAUUUAUUAAUUUUUUUAGGAAAUACAAAUUUGGAAAGGGUAAAGAAAUCAAGAAUGCAUAUGGGUGUGCAUGCGCAUGCAAAGGAUUUAAUCUGUGCCUUGGGAUAUCUUCAAGGUGAACAUUUUUGACCAUGAGAGUUCACAAAGUUACAAGAAUCAUAACCUCCACGUUGUUUUCAUCCAAACCCCACAAUUGCAAAAUGUCAUCAGUGAUACCGCAAAGUCCGUUUGAAAUGAUGCCCUUUAGCACAGAUAAAGCCAGGUUGCCAGAUGCUGUCUUUUUCGCAAUUCCCUUGAGCCAGAGAUGCUGAACGUGAGGGAUGCUUUUCUUGUCAAGCUGCUGAGCACAGCCUGAAGCAGCUCUGCAUUAUUCCAGAAAACAAAGUGGCCUCAAGCCAGCCCAAGGGAAGAUGAUCAGGUCCAAUGCGCAGAGCCCUGCUGUAGAGCCCAUUAAUUUCGUAUGGGUGCGCGCACACUUUGCACACUCACCCACAUGGAAGACAGGAAGGCUUAGUAAACUACUCCUUCACUCGUCAUCAGAAAUUGCUAAAGUGCCAUAGGAGAGAGAGAACAAAUUAUGUUAAUUGCAUUUAUAGAAAGGAAAAUAAAUGUUUCAGCCAAACUGAACAAUGCCCUUGUGCGGCUACAGGAGUAAAACUCGACCUGCAAAUAUAAUUAGCAAACAUAUUAGCGUAUCCCAAUGCACUGAGCAUCACCAGCUAUGUGGACCACCACCCCUCAUGCACAUCCCAUCACAGAAGGCUCUUCUCCACCGACUGUUUACUAUAUUUGACAGUCACCUGUCCUACUGCACUGAUUCCUUCCAGCUAAUGGUUAGCUUUGGAAACAUAAUGAUCCUAAACCCUCACUUCAGCUGCAGUAUGUGAAAAUAGCACACUGUACAUGAUAUCGUUCCUUAACAUGCAUCUGCAUGCACACACAUUCUAACUACAGAUGAUAAUAAUAAUGCAUGGGAUGCGGGUGGCGCUGUGGUCUAAACCACUGAGCCUCUUGGGCUUGCCGAUCAGAAGGUUGGCGGUUUGAAUCCAUGCGACGGGGUGAGCUCCCAUUGCUCUGUCCCAGCUCCUGCCAACCAAGCAGUUUGAAAGCAUGCCAACGCAAGUAGAUAAAUAGGUACCACUGCGGCGGGAAGGUAAACGCCAUUUCCUUGCACUCUGGUUUCCGUCACGGUUUCCCAUUGCACCAGAAGCAGUUUAGUCAUGCUGGCCACAUGACCCGGAAAGCUCUCUGUGGACAAAUGCCGGCUCCCUUGGCCUGAAAGCAAGAUGAGCACCGCAACCCCAUAGUCACAUUUGAACGGACUUAACCAUCCAGGGGUGCUUUACAUUUUUACAUAAUAACAACAAUAAUAACAAUAAUAAUUUAAUUAUUUAUACCCUGCCCAUCUGGCUGGGUUUCUUGUCUAAUGCUACCAUCAGUGAAGAUGACAGCAUGGGUCUUCUGCUCCUUGCCGCUCCUCACCUCAAAUCCUCUCAACAUUGUUGUUGUUUAGUCAUUUAGUCAUGUCCGACUCUUUGUGACCUCAUGGACCAGAGCACGCCAGACACUCCUGUCUUCCACUGCCUCCCACAGUUUAGUCAAACUCAUGUUCGUAGCUUCAAGAACACUAACCAACCAUCUCGUCCUCUGUCGUCCCCUUCUCCUUGCGCCCACCAUCUUUUCCAACAUCAAGGUCUUUUCCAGGGAGUCUUCUCUUCUCAUGAGGUGGCCAAAGUAUUGGAGUCUCAGCUUCAGGAUCUGUCCUUCCAGUGAGCACUCAGGGCUGAUUUCCUUAAGAAUGGAUAGGUUUGAUCUUCUUGCAGUCCAUGGGACUCUCAAGAGUCUCCUCCAGCACCAUAACUCAAAAGCAUCAAUUCUUCGGCGAUCAGCCUUCUUUAUGGUCCAGCUCUCACUUCCAUACAUCACUACUGGGAAAACCAUAGCUUUAACUAUAUGGACCUCUCAACUUUAGGCUAUAGUUUAAAAUGUCAGAGGAGGAGAGGGAGAGGGAGAGGGAGAGGGAGAGGGAGGGAGGGAGGGAAGGCAAGUAGAAAGCUUAGCCAACAGAGUGAACUGCAUUCAAUGGAUCGUAGCCACACGUGGCCUCUACUCGUAUAAAUGUUCCCACCCACACUGUGUCAAACUAGUUCAGCCCCUGCUCUGCUCAAUGAGACUCUUAAUCUCAGGGUUGCAGCUUCAAGCCCCAUGAUGAGCAAAAAAUUCCUGUGUCGUAGGGGGUUGCACUAGAUGGCCCUUGUGGUCCCUUCCAACCCUACAGUUCUAUGGUUCUGUGGGGGAGGGGGAGGAAUAGCACCCAGCCACCUCCAAAGCUCCCACUCCUAACAUGCACGGCAGAGCAAAAUGCAUUUGUUCCUAUUCUAGAGGGUUUCCUCGCCCAGAACAUUGGACUAGGGCAGCAGUUCUCAACCUGUGGGUCCCCAGAUGUUGUUGGACUACAACUCCUAUCAUCCCUGAGCUCUGGCCUUGCUAGCUAGGGGUGGUGGGAGUUGUAGUUCAACAACAUCUGGGGACCCACAGGUUGAGAAAGGCUGGACUAGGGGGUUCGACUUGAUGACUCUCUGCGUUGCUUCCAACUCUACAGUUCUAUAGCUGGGAGAUACAUGCUGAAACAUCCACCUGAAAUGUGUUGAUUUGUAGAGACAGGGAUGGAGCGGGGCAUGUGUGUGUUGGCUGUUCGAAACAAAGGUAAGUUUUGCAUUAGGUUUUCUGUUCUAAAAUAUAAAAGCAGGUUGUUGGCAUCCAUCUGUCUUGAGAGACAGUGGAGUGUGCCUCCAGGGAUGAAGCCAAACCGCUGUGUCAGCAGCACUGAAGUGACGUCCCCAGGGCGCAAGCCUGGGCAAUGUGUCUGGAGGUCCUGGGGCUGCCCAGAUGACAACAACAACAACAAUAAUAAUAAAUUUUAUUUAUACCCCACCCUCCCCAGCCAAGGCCAGGCUCAGGGCAGCUAACAACCAAUAAUAAAAACAAGUUGAAUGAAUACAACUUAAAAACAAGAUUAAAAUACAACAUUAAAAUGCAGCCUCAUCACAGGAGGAGAAAGGAAAAAAGAAAGAGGGGGAGGGAAUCAGAUUGACUCCAAGCCAAAGGCCAGGUGGAACAACUCUGUCUUACAGGCCCUGCAGAAAGAAAUCAAAUCCCGCAGGGACCUGGUCUCAUGAGGCAGAGCGUUCCACCAGGCCAGAGCCAGAGUUGAAAAGGCCCUGGCUCUGGUUGAGGCUAAUCUAACUUCCUUAGGGCCCAGGACCUCUAGGGUGUUGCUAUUUAUGGACCUUAAGGUCCUCCGUGGGGUAUACCGGGAGAGGCGGUCCUGUAGGUACGAGGGUCCUAGGCCUAGACUCACAGAUAAGGUCCAAAGGAAAACAGAGCAAUACAUUUAGCACCAGCUUGGCUGUAGGAGCUGACAGCCAAAGGCAAACAAGAUGCCAUCCAACCAUCUUAGGAGCUCCACUCUGGAUUAUUCCUUAGCCUUUUCAUCUUCUUCUCCCAAAGAUGUCCUACAAGGCAGCAGAGGCUUAGGACCAGAGUUUUCCUUCUCCUGUAUGGGCUACCUUCCCAGGUUGAUGAGUCCCAUCCGCCCCUCACUUCCUUCUCCAUCAUGAGCAGAAAUCGCCUUCUUGACUGUUGGGCCCACUAUUGGUCUUGUCUGCUCAAUCGGCCAAAACUGGCAGGGAAAGACCCUAAAUCACCAAGGUUUUGAGACCCAUCAAUGACCCUCAUUUGAUUCAGCCAGCCAGUUGAAACCAUGUGUGGCUGCUGCUGUAGCACCUCUGAUGGGGGACACAGUUAAAACAAUGGAUACUGUGAAGAAAAUAGCGGAGGAAAUGAGGUAUGUAUUAGAAAAAUAGCAAGUUUCAAAGCUUCAUGAUAUCAGCCGCUAAUGGAAAACCCAAAAUAUUGUUAAAUGGGUCUUUAUUUAAUAGAUAGCAAUUGCAAGCUGCAAUUUGCAAGCUGUAGUUGCAGAUGGCAAUGUUUUCCCAUUCUUUUUCAACAGUCGACUACGGUAGUUACUGUGGGGAUCAGCUGACAAUGAAAUGCCAACUGCAAAAGAUAUGCUCGUGAGUAUACUGAACUGUUAGAUUGUUGCAAGGAUGUUCCAAGCGUGAAAGCUACCUACUUUGAAUACACACAAUGCAAAUAUUUAGAGAGUGCAAGAGUGGAAAGAGGCUCGCAGAUAUCAUUCCAUUCAUUUGCCAUUUUAAACACAAUUGAAUAGCAAGCACAGCAGACAGCUUUAAAGUGCAGAAGCUUUUUAAAUACUACUUUAAGAGCAAUUCAUUUUCCAAUUAAGAAAACUUAGAAGCUCGGAGAUAUAUUCUCUAAACGGAAAAGAAACAUUCUGUCAUGAAAAAGAACAGAAUUGUGAAUUGGAACAAGUGGAAGAAUACGUGAAACUGGCAGAAAAUACUGGAGGAUUAGUAAUCAUAGUUUUGUCUCAAUCAUGGAUACGAGCGAAAACUGUAUUGAGAUGAUUGUUAGAUGAUGCAUCUCUACAGGUUAAAUGAAAUUGACCACCAUUUACAACCCAAAGUGGUAGCAUGUCAAAAGAGUUUGGUUUGGUUUUGAACCUAUUUGGAGAGUUUGUACAGGAG
rnacentral:lncRNA from 1 species